rnacentral:rRNA from 1 species
UACGUAGGGUGCGAGCGUUGUCCGGAAUUACUGGGCGUAAAGAGCUCGUAGGUGGUUUGUCGCGUUGUUCGUGAAAUCUCACGGCUUAACUGUGAGCGUGCGGGCGAUACGGGCAGACUUGAGUACUGCAGGGGAGACUGGAAUUCCUGGUGUAGCGGUGGAAUGCGCAGAUAUCAGGAGGAACACCGGUGGCGAAGGCGGGUCACUGGCUCAUUUCUGACGCUCAGGCGCGACAGCGUGGGGAUCAAACGGG